rnacentral:rRNA from 1 species
AUUGAACGCUGGCGGCAGGCCUAACACAUGCAAGUCGAACGAGUGGCGGACGGGUGAGUAAUGUCUGGGAAACUGCCUGAUGGAGGGGGAUAACUACUGGAAACGGUAGCUAAUACAGCAUACCAUCAGAUGUGCCCAGAUGGGAGUAGCUAUUGGGUGGGGAAACGGCUAACCAGGGCGACGAGCCCUAGCUGGUCUGAGAGGCUGACCGGCCACACUGGAACUGAGACACGGCCCAGACUCCUACGGGAGGCAGCAGUGGGGAAUAUUGCACAAUGGGCGCAAGCCUGAUGCAGCCAUGCCGCGUGUAUGAAGAAGGCCUUCGGGUUGUAAAGUACUUUCAGCGGGGAGGCGUUACCCGCAGAAGAAGCACCGGCUAACUCCGUGCCAGCCGCCGCGGUAAUUC